CUGUGGGUAUCUGCAUGUAGGUGUCUGUGUGUGGGCAUCUGCACGUGGGUAUCUACAUGUAGGCAUUUGCAUAUGGACAGCUGCCCAUGGAUAUCUUCAUUCUGCAUAUGGACAGCUGCAUGUGGGUAUCUGCAUGUGGACAGUAGCAUAGCCUGAGUCUCCCUGGAGGAAGGCACAGAGUUGCGCAACCCAUGAAGGGACCCCUUAAAGCAAUGGGGAGCUCCACCUGAGCCCAGAUUGAUUCCGAGUGUUGGAAGCCCAAAAAUUACUGUAGGUCCCAGUUGUCUCAGAUGACCUUGUGGUAAGACCUCCCGCCAGACGACUCCAAUGACUAUCAUCUGGGAGGACCGGAAGUGCAGACAUUUUGUGUUAUCAACUGAAGAAAGAUCAAUGUGCUCUACAACGGUCGGAGAAAAGCGUUCCUUCUUUUUGUGAAAAAUGAAAGAUUCUGACAGAAAGUCUUCCUUGAUGAAAGAUUUCCCCAGAUUUGUGGUGAGAAGGAGGAGGGGUGUCACCAGACUGAGCCGGCAUCUCCUGCCCAUCAUCAGAGCAUCUGAAUUAAAGGAGAGUGUGAGAAUGAACACACACCAACACCAGAAGUAAAAGAAGUAGAGAAAAAUACACCAAAGGAAAGUACGUACGAAUUAAUAAAGACUGAAACUGAGAUUAUUCCACUAGAAAACAGAGCCAACUAAAAAGGCAACGCAACAAUGAGUAAAAGUAGAUAUUAUUUUUUAAUGAAAAGUCUAAUAAAAACAAAGAAAAUAUAAGCAUGGGGUAAAAGUAUUUAUCAAAAACCAGGAGCAAAUAUUACAUUAAAAGAAUAAUUGCUUAAAAAAUGUUCUACUACAAUCAAGAAAAAAAUACAAGGAUAUCAGUUAUUUAAAAUGGUUUUAU